AGCAGCCGCGGUAAUUCCAGCUCCAAUAGCGUAUAUUAAAGUUGUUGCAGUUAAAAAAGCUCGUAGUUGAAUUUCGAGAUCAAAUUGUUGGUCGUGCCUUGGUACGCACUGGCAUUAUUGGUUUCUCCCUUCUGACGAACCAUGAUGUCAUUAAUUUGGUGUCUUGGGGAAUCAGGACUGUUACUUUGAAAAAAAUUAGAGUGUUUAAAGCAGGCUCACGCUUGAAUACAUUAGCAUGGAAUAAUGAAAUAGGACGUUUGAUUCUAUUUUGUUGGUUUCUAGGAUCGACGUAAUGAUUAAUAGGGAUAGUUGGGGGCAUUAGUAUUCAAUUGUCAGAGGUGAAAUUCUUGGAUUUAUUGAAGACUAACUACUGCGAAAGCAUUUGCCAAGGAUGUUUUCAUUAAUCAAGAACGAAAGUUAGGGGAUCGAAGACGAUCAGAUACCGUCGUAGUCUUAACCAUAAACUAUGCCGACUAGGGAUCGGAUGAUGUAAUUUUUAAUGA
rnacentral:rRNA from 1 species